GAAAUGCACACCUAUUUCAUUGACUUCUGAAGUAUAUAUACACUGUAGAAUAACAGAAUUAGCAACUAUAUGCCUAUAACUAAAGAGGGAGUUAUACUGAUCAUAACCAGAUAACCUCAAAUUUUAAAUUCAGAUUACAGAUAAAUACACAAAAUUCAGAUUACAGAUAACUACAGUUGUUAGGAAAAUUGUUGUUUUUGUUCUCUUGACAUUGAAACAGAUUGAUAUCCCCAUUGUUCUCUUGAAUUUGUUGGAGGAUUAUACCAUCACAAUCACUGGAAAUCCAAUUGUUGAAUUUAGUCCCUUUGAGCUCCGAGGUCUGUUUUAUUUCUAAUUUUUUAUUUUAUCACAUUUAACACAUGUAAAUCAGUGGUGGGUGGGAUUUUAUUGGGGGAGGAGGAGGUGAUUGAUGAGUUUAAUAGUAGUAGCAAGGGAGGUGACUCCCAGACAUUGGAAUUGGCAGUGGAUGUGAGUUCAACAUCAUUUUCGUCAACAAACAUUCUGAUACCGUGGCGUCCUAGGAAGCUUGCGUUUUGUCCUUAUUUGCCUUUUGUGAACACUGAUUCAUAGCCCCAAUGGUCAAAUUGAAGGGCUACCGGGAUUGUACCAUUUGAUUUUACAAUGGUCAAAUUUUAUUGGGUUACAGUGGGAGGAAAGAUGAGUCUGUGAUGGAGGAUUUUUCUAAUUAUUUUUUGCUGGGAUAAUCAUUUUGUUGAAUUUUUGUCUGCUGGUAGUGUUGAUGAAGU
rnacentral:lncRNA from 1 species